GCUCCCGUAGCCCAAUCGGCAGAGGCAGGCGGCUUAAACCCGCCCCAGUGUGGGUUCGAGCCCCACCGGGAGCA
rnacentral:tRNA from 1 species